rnacentral:RNase_P_RNA from 1 species
UAGCUGCCGCAAGGUAGAGGAAAGUCCAUGCUCGCACUCCCUGCGAUGGGAGUAGUGAUUGUGCUAAGGGAAUGAAUAACCUUAGGUAGGGAGGAGUCCCUAACGGCGGGCGAACGGCUCCAGCAGUCGGGAACCCAUAACGUGCCACAGAGACGAGCUUGGCGGCGACGCCAAGAUGAAACGCGGUAAACCCCUCAAGCGAGAAACCCAAAAUUGGUAGGGGAAGCCACCGAACCGAACUGAAGGGGAGGCGGCCGACGAAAGUCGAGAUAAAUUGUCGUCCUCGACAGAACAUGGCUUACAG